AUACGAAAGGUGCAAGCGUUGUUCGGAUUUACUGGGCGUAAAGAGAGUGUAGGUUGUUUAUUAAGUCGGAUGUGAAAUCCCGGGGCUCAACCUCGGAACUGCAUUCGAUACUGGUAGACUCGAGUUCGGGAGGGGUAAGCGGAAUUCCGUGUGUAGCAGUGAAAUGCGUAGAUAUACGGAGGAACACCUGAGGCGAAGGCGGCUUACUGGACCGAUACUGACACUGAGACUCGAAAGCGUGGGUAGCAAACAGGAUUAGAUACCCCAGUAGUCC
rnacentral:rRNA from 1 species